AGUGAACGCUGGCGGUAGGCCUAACACAUGCAAGUCGAACGGCAGCACAGUAAGAGCUUGCUCUUACGGGUGGCGAGUGGCGGGCGGGUGAGGAAUACAUCGGAAUCUACUUUUUCGAGGGGGAUAACGUCGGGAAACUUACGCUAAUACCGCAUACGACCUACGGGUGAAAGCAGGGGAUCUUCAGACCUUGCGCGAUUGAAUGAGCCGAUGUCGGAUUAGCUAGUUGGCGGGGUAAGGGGCCACCAAUGCGACGAUCCGUAGCUGGUCUGAGGGGAUGUUCAGCCACACUGGAACUGAGACACGGUCCAGACUCCGACGGGAGGACGCAGUGGGGAAUAUUGGACAAUGGGCGCAAGCCUGAUCCAGCCAUACCGCGUGGGUGAAGAAGGCCUUCGGGUUGUAAAGCCCUUUUGUUGGGAAAGAAAAGCAGCAGGUUAAUACCCCGCUGUUCUGACGGUACCCAAAGAAUAAGCACCGGCUAACUUCGUG
rnacentral:rRNA from 1 species